rnacentral:rRNA from 1 species
UACGAGGGGGGCGAGCGUUGUUCGGAAUUAUUGGGCGUAAAGGGUGCGUAGGCGGUUUGGUAAGUCUUGUGUGAAAUCUACAGGCUCAACUUGUAGUCUGCACGAGAAACUGCCGGGCUUGAGUAUGGGAGAGGUGAGUGGAAUUCCUGGUGUAGCGGUGAAAUGCGUAGAUAUCAGGAGGAACACCUGUGGCGAAAGCGGCUCACUGGACCAUAACUGACGCUGAUGCACGAAAGCUAGGGGAGCAAGCAGG